AACGAACGCUGGCGGCGUGGAUAAGACAUGCAAGUCGAGCGGGAUACUUCGGGUAGCAAUAUUCGGAGUGUUCAGCGGCGCAAGGGUGCGUAACACGUGGGUAAUCUGCCGUGAAGCCUGGAAUAACUCGCUGAAAGGCGAGCUAAUGCCGGAUGUGAAGUUUGGAAGGCAUCUUUUGGACUUCAAAGCUGGGGACCGUAAGGCCUGGCACUUCACGAUGAGCCCGCGGCCUAUCAGCUAGUUGGUGAGGUAACGGCUCACCAAGGCUAAGACGGGUAGCUGGUCUGAGAGGACGACCAGCCACACUGGAACUGAGACACGGUCCAGACACCUACGGGUGGCAGCAGUCGAGAAUUUUUCACAAUGGGCGAAAGCCUGAUGGAGCGACG
rnacentral:rRNA from 1 species